CCCUUAGAUGUUCUGGGCUGCACGCGUGCUACAAUGGCGUUUCCAGCAAGUCUGCGAACCCGAGAGGGCCAGCGGAUCUUCGAAUUGGCGUCGUGAUCGGGACAGUCGAUUGCAAUUAUUUGACUCAAACGAGGAAUUCCUUGUAAUCGCGAUUCAUCAUAUCGCGCUGAAUACGUCCCUGCCCUUUGUACACACCUCCCGUCGCUCCUACCGAUUGAGCGAUCCGGUAAAUGUUUUGGAUUGGUGCCGGGGCGGCUAGCUGCCGGUCGCUACGAAAUUUUGUGAACCUUAUCGCUUAGAGGAAGGAAAAGUCGUAACA
rnacentral:rRNA from 1 species